rnacentral:lncRNA from 1 species
UCUGAGUGCAGUGCCCAGGGAGGCCAGAAGAGGGCACCAGAUAAGCCUUCCAGCACAAGUGCUGGGAAGUGAACUCAAGUCCUCUGCAAACACAGCAAAUGCAGGUGCAGGGAUUGAACUCAGAGCCCGCCUUGCACAGCUGCCAUCUCGGAGGCUAUGUAUGUUCCUCUCACACAGUUUGGAAGGAACGUUCAGCAUAUUGCUGUGGAAACAGUUCCAUCAGCUGUGACAUCAGACAUGGAAUCCUUGGGGGCUCCAGGGAAGAACCUAAGGCCUGAGUUAAGGAGCCUCAACUCCCUGAGGACAGCAGAUAUAGUGGGGAGGGCGCCUCGGCCACUAGGCACUCACCGGAAGGAGCCGUCCAGGUUGGCACGGUGGAUGAAGCUGAGCUUGGCAUCGGCCCAGUACAGCUUCUGUUCCUCCAGGUCGAUGGUCAGCCCAUUGGGCCAGUAAAUGUCGGAGUCUACAAUGAUCUUCCGGGGCACAGGAAGGAAGCUUGAGAUGUCCUGUCUGUGGCAGCAUUGCCAAGGUCAACACUGGUCCAGGGGCAGGAUUUGAAAGGAACAGCGUGACCCAGAGGAGAGCGUCUAGUGAAGAAGUCAGAAGCAAGUGUACACAUGACCCACAGGACCAAGGCUGACUGAUCCCAGAGAUAACACAGGCCACAGCAGCUCAAGUAAGGACAGAGUGCAUAACAGGCUGAAGAGAUGGCUCAGCGGCUACAACACUGGUUUCUAUACAGGGCCCAGGC